AUUGAACGCUGGCGGCAUGUCUUACACAUGCAAGUCGAACGGUAACGGGCCUUCGGGUGCCGACGAGUGGCGAACGGGUGAGUAAUGCAUCGGAACGUACCCAUCAGUGGGGGAUAACUCUCCGAAAGGAGGGCUAAUACCGCAUAUCCUGUGCGCAGGAAAGCGGGGGACCGCAAGGCAUCGCGCUGGUGGAGCGGCCCGUGUCAGAUUAGCUAGUUGGUGGGGUAAAGGCCUACCAAGGCGACGAUCUGUAGCGGGUCUGAGAGGAUGAUCCGCCACACUGGGACUGAGACACGGCCCAGACUCCUACGGGAGGCAGCAGUGGGGAAUUUUGGACAAUGGGGGCAACCCUGAUCCAGCCAUGCCGCGUGAGUGAAGAAGGCCUUCGGGUUGUAAAGCUCUUUCGGCCGGGAAGAAAUCGCAUCUCCUAAUACGGGGUGUGGAUGACGGUACCGGAAUAAGAAGCACCGGCUAACUACGUGCCAGCAGCCGCGGUAA
rnacentral:rRNA from 1 species